GCCGGUUCCCUAAACCGGAGUGCGCAGGCGCGAGGGGGCCAUUUUGGAAAGCGGCGGAUUGCAGGCGGAGCAUAGUACAACCCAGAAGCACCAUGUCUCGAAGAUAUGAUUCUCGAACGACCAUCUUUUCCCCCGAAGGUCGCCUGUAUCAAGUUGAGUAUGCGAUGGAAGCCAUAGGACACGCUGGCACCUGCUUAGGAAUUCUGGCAAACGAUGGAGUGCUGUUGGCAGCGGAAAGACGGAACAUCCACAAGCUUCUGGAUGAAGUCUUUUUUUCAGAGAAAAUAUAUAAACUCAAUGAGUGAGUGAGAUACUGGUGUCAUUGUUUUA